GUCUUGGCAACCGCAUCAACGCGCUCCGGCCCCUCCCUCCGCGCAGGCGACCAAUGACCGACCAUUAGUUCCUGGAGAUGGAUAAUCUCGCAUUACUGCCCCCUGGCGGCCCAACGGAAGUAUCCUCCAGACUUCGCCGGGCCCCCAGGUGGCCUCCAGCGCUAGAGGUCAUCGAGUCCCGCCGCGAUGUGAUCCGGGCUAGCGCGAUCUUGGCGCAACGCAACCUCCGCCUCCCGGGUUCAAGCGAUUCUCGUGCCUCCUGAGUAGCUGGGAUUACAGACUCGCGCCACCACACCCGGCUAAUUUUUGUAUUUUUAGUAGAGACGGGGUUUUUCCAUGUUGGUCAGGCUGGUCUUGAACUGCUGACCUCAGGUGAUCCGCUCGCCUCGACCUCCCAAAGUGCUGGGAUUACAGACGUGAGCCGCCAUGUCCGGCUGUGUCCACGCUUCUUUUCCCGAGCUCUGCCUCCAAGUUUUCUGGGGCACAGCUGCUUCUCUCUCCAUCUCUGCCUCCAGGGAGCUAAUUACACCCUGUCCUCGCCGGCCUCCCGCCUGACCGCCCACCACACUGGAAGCCCCCGCAACCCUUUCACUGUCUUCAGGGCGACGGCCGUCCCCUCCCAGGCACGUCCCCCUCCUAGGAAGAGGCUGGGGCCCAGUUUAUUCCAAAUUUUCACGUCUUUUUUUUAAUUUUAAA